rnacentral:rRNA from 1 species
GCGGCGGACGGGUUAGUAACGCGUGGGAAUGUACCCUUCUCUACGGAAUAGCCUCGGGAAACUGAGAGUAAUACCGUAUACGCCCUUCGGGGGAAAGAUUUAUCGGAGAAGGAUCAGCCCGCGUAAGAUUAGAUAGUUGGUGGGGUAAUGGCCUACCAAGUCUACGAUCUUUAGCUGGUUUUAGAGGAUGAUCAGCAACACUGGGACUGAGACACGGCCCAGACUCCUACGGGAGGCAGCAGUGGGGAAUCUUGGACAAUGGGCGCAAGCCUGAUCCAGCCAUGCCGCGUGUGUGAUGAAGGCCUUAGGGUCGUAAAGCACUUUCGCUAGAGAUGAUAAUGACAGUAUCUAGUAAAGAAGUCCCGGCUAACUCUGUGCCAGCAGCCGCGGUAAUACAGAGGGUGCAAGCGUUAAUCGGAGUUACUGGGCGUAAAGGGUGCGUAGGCGGAUGCUUAAGUCGGAUGUGAAAGCCCCGGGCUUAACCUGGGAACUGCAUUCGAUACUGGGUAUCUAGAGUAUGGUAGAGGAAAGUGGAAUUUCCGGUGUAGCGGUGAAAUGCGUAGAUAUCGGAAAGAACACCAGUGGCGAAGGCGGCUUUCUGGACCUAUACUGACGCUGAGGUACGAAAGCGUGGGGAGCGAACAGGAUUAGAGACCCUGGUAGUCCACGC